UACAGAGGGGGCCAGCGUUAUUCGGAAUUAUUGGGCGUAAAGAGCUCGUAGGCGGUUUGUUGCGUCGGCCGUGAAAACCUGCAGCUUAACUGUGGGCCUGCGGCCGAUACGGGCAGACUUGAGUUCGGUAGGGGAGACUGGAAUUCCUGGUGUAGCGGUGAAAUGCGCAGAUAUCAGGAGGAACACCGGUGGCGAAGGCGGGUCUCUGGGCCGAUACUGACGCUGAGGAGCGAAAGCGUGGGGAGCGAACAGG
rnacentral:rRNA from 1 species